CCUCGAAUGCUCUCCGGAUUUGUAAUCUGAGAAUGUUUUCUUGGUUGGAAAAAUUUAAAAGUUAUAAUUUUUAGUAUAAAGUAAGGUAAAAAAAGUCAAACAAGUCAGAAAUUCAAAACACCCGCAAAAGUUUAAUCCGCAAGGCAAUGGUGACUCUAGUUGAGCCUCCAAAUGGAGUUAGGCAAAAACAUACACAUUACUACUUAAUGUGGCAAACGUUGGUGGAGAUGAAUUUGUUCUAUUGAAGAUGAUAAUUUUUGGAGUAGUAUUGGGCAAAAAAAUCACCCUACAUGCAGUUGUUGUCUCUGUCCAAUGUACAGAGUGUAUAGCUGGAGCCAUUCCUUUUUGUAAGUAACUGGCAAUUUGUAGUGGAUGCAAGGACCAUGAAUUACAUUGACAUUUGUGGUAGAAUGAUAUAAAAAGUAAAUGAUUUACUGGAUUCAUGUACUUAGAUUUGCAUAUAUAAAUAUAUAUAUAUAUAUAUAUAUAUUUAUGAGAUUUUAUUUGAUUGUUCGUAAGACCCGUUUGAGGUACUGAGACGUGCAGGUGUUAAUGUAAGUUUGGUUGAGGCCAACAGUUCAAGUACUACUUACAUGGAUAGUAGGAGAUUUUGUUUCAAGUGUAUUACCAGCAGAUCUUGACGAAGAAAGGCUUGCUCAAAGGAACAACAACAUCUCAAGCUACUCACAUCAUCUCCCAGUUCUUCCACUUAGGUCAUGCCCUCUCAAGCUAGUUGAACCCACUAGGAACAACAACAUCCUGCCAUUUUAUAGUAAGCGAGUUACAGAGAUGCAUUGCUAUGGAGAAGCUGAGGAGCUGAUGAUGGAGAACUUUUUGUUGGACAUGAUGACCAUUUCGAUCUAAAGGAUUCCUUGAGAGUGAUUGCAUGUUGCAAAUUUUUUCCAAAAUCUCAUGGAAUUGUUGUUGUAUACAAUAUUGUGCAUCUUUGUUUUAUGAUAAGUGUGAAAAAAAAAAAAAGCAUUAUUGCUUCUGUUUAUGGAGUUUUGUAAGAUUUGUAGUGAUAUUAAUGUUGUAUUAUGAAUUGGUUGAGUUGAUCAACUUUUAUGUCUAUGAUUUAUAUAAAGGGCCGAUUAUUUAUGGUCA